rnacentral:lncRNA from 1 species
AUGAUCACACUCACUUCCCAUCGUUCCUAUUUGGCUGUAUGGGUCCGUGAGGUAGUUGGCGCCAAUUGGUUUUUGCAGGAAACCGACUACUGCUGUUACCCCACUAGAGGGGACACGGUGGUUAGUGGUACAUCCUGGAGGAGAGACAGGGCACUAGGGUCAGUCACUAGAGGGGACACAGUGGUUAGUGGUAUAUCCUGGACGAGAGACAGGGCACUAGGGUCAGUCACUAGAGGGGACACAGUGGUUAGUGGUAUAUCCUGGAGGAGAGACAGGGCACUAGGGUCAGUCACUAGAGGGGACACAGUGGUUAGUGGAACCCCCUGGAGGAGAGACAGGGCACUAGGGUCAGUCACUAGAGGGGACACGGUGGUUAGUGGAACAUCCUGGAGGAGAGACAGGGCACUAGGGUCAGUCACUAGAGGGGACACAGUGGUUAGUGGAACCCCCUGGAGGAGAGACAGGGCACUAGGGUCAGACACUAGAGGGGACACGGUGGUUAGUGGAACAUCCUGGAGGAGAGACAGGGCACUAGGGUCAGUCACUAAAGGGGACACGGUGGUUAGUGGAACAUCCUCCAAGCUCGUCAUCAAGCUCGAGACCCUGGGUCUCGACCCCGCCCUGUGCAACUGGGUACUGGACUUCCUGACGGGCCGCCCCCAGGUGGUGAGGGUAGGCAACAACAUCUCCACCCCGCUGAUCCUCAACACUGGGGCCCCACAAGAGUGCGUUCUGAGCCCUCUCCUGUACUCCCUGUUCACCCACGACUGCGUGGCCACGCACGCCUCCAACUCAAUCAUCAAGUUUGCGGACGACACAACAGUGGUAGGCUUGAUUACCAACAACGACGAGACGGCCUACAGGGAGGAGGUGAGGGCCCCCGGAGUGUGGUGUCAGGAAAAUAACCUCACACUCAACGUCAACAAAACUAAGGAGAUGAUUAUGGACUUCAGGAAACAGCAGAGGGAACACCCCCCUAUCCACAUCGAUGGAACAGUAGUGGAGAGGGUAGCAAGUUUUAAGUUCCUCGGCAUUCACAUCACAGACAAACUGAAUUGGUCCACUCACACAGACAGCAUCGUGAAGAAGGCGCAGCAGCGCCUCUUCAACCUCAGGAGGCUGAAGAAAUUCGGCUUGUUACCAAAAGCACUCACAAACUUCUACAGAUGCACAAUCGAGAGCAUCCUGGCGGGCUGCAUCACCGCCUGGUACGGCAACUGCUCCUCCCACAACCGUAAGGCUCUCCAGAGGGUAGUGAGGUCUGCACAACGCAUCACCGGGGGCAAACUACCUGCCCUCCAGGACACCUACACCACCCGAUGUUACAGGAAGGCCAUAAAGAUCAUCAAGGACAACAACCACCCGAGCCACUGUUCACCCCGCUAUCAUCCAGAAGGCGAGGUCAGUACAGGUGCAUCAAAGCUGGGACCGAGAGACUGA